UCCCGCCGCCCUCCUUGGGCGUUUCCUCCCUAGGCUUGGGCCGCUCCUCAUCGAGCGGCCCUUUUUCGUUUCUAGA
rnacentral:sRNA from 1 species